AACGAACGCUGGCGGCAUGCCUAACACAUGCAAGUCGAACGAGACCUUCGGGUCUUGUGGCGCACGGGUUCGUAACGCGUGGUAACCUUCCCUUAGGUUCUGAAUAACUCCCCUUAUGUGGUGCUAAUACCGGUUAAUGUCUUCUGCCCAAAGAUUUAUCGCCUUUGGAUGGGCCCGCGUUGGAUUAGCUAGUUGGUAGGGUAAAAGCCUACCAAGGCGACGAUCCAUAGCUGGUCUGAGAGGAUGAUCAGCCAGACUGGGACUGAGAAACGGCCGAGACUACGACGGGAGGAAGCAGAGGGGAAUAUUGGAAAAUGGGCGAAAGGAUGAACAAGCAAUGACGCGUGAGUGAUGAAGGGAGUAGGGAAGUAAAGCACUAUUACAAGGGAAGAUAAUGACAGUAACGGGAGAAUAAGCACCGGCUAACUACGUG
rnacentral:rRNA from 1 species